AUUCCAGAGACCGACGUAGCAAACUCCAGAGAGAAUGUCCCCUGAAAAAUUUCACAUAAAACGAACAAUCAAUAAAAUAUAAUAAUGGGAGUCUUUAUGGCGGGAGCAGCCCAAGCUGCCAAAUGAAAAUAUUGUGAAUUCGCCUCGAUUGCUUCGUGUCCCCACUUCAAUCCCGCAGCCAGGAACCACGUGAGGGUGAGAAUUACCCACCAGAUGCUCGAGGCCAUUC